ACGUUAGCGGCGGACGGGUGAGUAACACGUGGGUAACCUACCUAUAAGACUGGGAUAACUUCGGGAAACCGGAGCUAAUACCGGAUAAUAUUUCGAACCGCAUGGUUCGAUAGUGAAAGAUGGUUUUGCUAUCACUUAUAGAUGGACCUGCGCCGUAUUAGCUAGUUGGUAAGGUAACGGCUUACCAAGGCGACGAUACGUAGCCGACCUGAGAGGGUGAUCGGCCACACUGGAACUGAGACACGGCCCAGACUCCUACGGGAGGCAGCAGAU
rnacentral:rRNA from 1 species